AGGAUAACAUGACAUAGCAGGAAUAAUACUGCCUUUUCUUUCUGGCAUGGAUCAAGAGAAAAGAAAAUACAAGAAAACAGACAGAAGAUCCUAUCUGCGACAAUUAAGAGCACUCUAAGAGGAAAACACAUCCCACCACACAAGGCAAGGUACUUCUAUGGAAGGGUGAGCCCUCACAGAUGGAGCAAUGGGGCGCGCACACCUGAACAAGGGAGGGGAAGGAGUUCUUAUCCCUGAUGCAUGUGACCCCUGCUGCUGUGUCCUUCCCCUAUUGGCUAAGGCUUCUGACAGCUUUGGAGAUUGUGACAUUGGAAUAAAGGAAAAACGUACAGGACUCAUGAAGCGCUGAAAUGUUCACAAAUAUCAAGCAAAAGUCAAUGAAAUUUAUUUUGAGCUAUUUACAUCAUUUAAUAAUUGAGCAAGGUAUACUCCUAUGAACAAAAUUUGGAGCAUGUUUGUCUCUCUCUGCCUGGCGUCUUCAGAAUUUGGAAACUAGUUAAAAUUGUUGUCUUAUUUUCAUCCUCUUUAAAAGAUGGUUUAUAAUCAGCUAUAGAAUUUUAACACGUGCUCUCAAAUGCAAGUUUCUGAUAACUUUGGAGAUUGUGACAUUGGAAUAAAGGAAGAGCUGGAAUGUUCAUGAAUAUCAAGCAAAAGUCAUGGAAAUUUAUUUUGAGCUAUUUACAGCAUUUAAUAAUUGAGCAAGGUAUACUCCUAUGAACAAAAUUUGGAGCAUGUUUGUCUCUCUCUGUCUGCCUGGCAUCUACAGAAUUUGGAAACUAGUUGUGCUGUACUGCAUGAGAAUGCCUGCAUUUAGUAUGCGAACUGGAAUUGGCAAAGGACGAUGGCUGCUCUCCCGCUAACUUUAAAUAAGUCAUGUCACAAAUUGCAUUCGUUCCCAGAUUUCCUAAACUUUCCAGAGAAAAUGGUCUUCUCCCUGGCUCAGCAAGAAGAUGAACUUUAAACACUGAGAAACUGGUCAUCUCCCUGGCUCAACCAGAAGAUGAACUUUAAACACUACUCUCAAUGACUUGAUGUUCCCAUCACUACUCCUGUCAUAAAGGGAGGGGACUCAGAUAUUGAGAAUUUUAUGAUAGUGUGAACUGUCUGGUAUGUCAUUUAAGUAAGCCCGUUGCUGAAAUAUUUUCCAUGUUAUUAGAAAGAGCUGAAGAGAGGGAUUGAGAUGGCUUCUUUAUUUUUUGUCUUUUGGGAAUUAAAGGAACCUGGUUCAACAAGGGCCUACACCUAAGUCUCUUGUUGUACCAGAGUACAAUUUAGGACUGCUCCUGAGGAAGGAAUUAGCUAGAAAUCUAGAGAGUAAGGGUAACAGAUUUACAUAGAAUAACAGCCUCAGUAUUUUUGGUUCCUCUCCAGUAAAGAUCACAAAGAAUAUUGCUAAAUCGCUAAAACACCUUUGCAAUAACGUAAGGGCUUACAACUAUAUACCAAUGUAGCUCAGUUACUAAACUGGAGUAAACUAAUUUCUCUUGUGUAGAAAAAUUGGUUGGCUGUGGUUUUAUAGCAGAUCUGCAAUUAUUAAUAGUUAUGCCAAUAAUCGUUUAACAGUGCAUAUGUUAAUAUAUAUGGAAAGACAAUGUGUAUAGACAGAUGUGUAAAAUUGAAAAAUAAACAUAUAACAAGAGAGAAACAUCUAUCGAACAGACAAUAUACAUACACAUCAAACACAACAGCAGUUUUAGUGACCAUAAUAUUUAUUUCUCAUUUUUACAUUGCUUACUUUAGUGACAACUGAAAAUGACAGUUGGCAAUGCAGCUAACAGUUUCAAUAAAAGUAUAAAACAAAAGACUGUGUACAAAGCACCUGUCUUUCCGCUUUUGUAAUCUUCCGUUGGAAAAAAUUUACACACCUAAGUAACCAUCUGUUUUCUUCAAGAAAAAAUCAUUCUUAUUUCUCUCUCUCAUCUUGAAAACAGCUGUCAGCCAGGAGGGCAGAGCUGAAAUUUAUUGCCACAUCACAUGAAGCAUAGAACAGACUCCACUACUCCUUGAGAUUCAAAACUUUGCCUCUCACAAAGUUACCUUUUAUUUUCCUCUUGUUUGUCACUCAUCUCCCCUAGUGUGCUCUUUUUAUUUCUUUUACUAUUAAUAAUAAAAUCUGUGGAUGACUGUAUUAUUGAA
ensembl:lncRNA LINC00320 long intergenic non-protein coding RNA 320